rfam:Chlorocebus sabaeus isolate 1994-021 chromosome 10, whole genome shotgun sequence.
CUAUAUGCAGUGGACCAGGAUGGCAAGGGCUCUCGUGAAAGGACAGUAGAGCCCUUGCCAUCCUGGUCCACUGCAUAUAG